AGAUUGAUUCAUCACACCACAUGAAUAACAUUGAUAUCAUUAAUUAAAAUAUGAUUAUAAUAUAAUUGGUUUAAAAUAAACUGACCAUGGUACUUCCACCUGCCCUGCUUCUUCUCUGUGUUUUUCCUCUUUCAAGUGGUACAGGUCGACUAAGAAAAUUCUACUUAAAUGAAACACAAAUGCAGAUAAAUGAUGCACUGAAUGCUUGUAGACAUAACUACACUGUCCUCGUCACAAUCUAUGAAGAUAACGACAAUGCAAUGCUAGCUAAAAUGAUACUGAAUGGACGUAUGUAUUGUGAAUGGAUUGGAGCCAAAAGCUGUACAUGGUCAAACGGUGAUCCAGUCACAUUCAACAACAUCACCAGAAAUUUUACUGAGGAAAGCUGCUGUGGUGCACUAACCACUGAUGGAACAUGGGAGUAUUUCAACUGUAGUUCAGAAAUGUACUUCAUGUGUUAUAAACAAGAAUCAUUAAACUAUAGUUUAAUCCCUGAAAAUAAAACCUGGUUUGAGGCUCAGCGGCACUGCAAAAUGAAUCACUCAGAUUUAGUCAGCAUCAGAAAUCAGGGGGAAAACGAGCAAGUGAAGGAAGCAGUAAAUGGGAGUAACUCUAUCUGGAUUGGCCUUCAGUAUAAUUACAGCCUUGCAUGGUUUGAUGGUGGAUAUUCUGAAUAUGUAAAAAUACAGACUGUGAGAGGAGAAACUAACAUUGCUGGAUGCUUUACAUUUCUCUCAAAACAACUACCGGAAUCUUGGUCCAAAACUAAUCUGAAUACAUGUGGUGCUCUUUGCUACAGUAGGUUAAGACAAUAUUUUAUGCUUCAAAGCCUACCGUAUGCUUGAAUAAAUCAAAGCAUGUAAAUAAUAAAAAAAAAAUGUCUUUUCUUCUCUUCAGAGAGCUUCAUUCAUGUCAGUUCUUAUAAAAUGUACUGGGAGGAAGCUUUCGAUUAUUGCAAGAGCAAAAAUCAUGGACUACUGCGCAUUGAGUCAGAGGAUGAUCAGAUAGAAACAGAGAGAGAAAUAAACAGAAAAAAUAUUUCAGAGCCAGUGUGGGUGGGGCUUAGACAGAGUCGACUUUUUGGAUUCUGGAUCUGGUACAAUGGGCUCAGUGUGGGCA